rnacentral:lncRNA from 1 species
GAGAGAGAGAACGAUGGAGUCAUGGGACUUGUCGGCGGUAGAGGGCGACGACGUCGACUUCAUCGAAUACUUCUAAAGCCUUGAGCCAUCGCAGACGCCGAUCCGGACAACCGUCGUCGCUCGUGCCGCCCCCGCUCGGCAUCGUCUUCUUUAACUCCUUCGAGGACGACUUCGACGAUUCCGACACCUGAUGGCGUGGUCGGAACGCCGGCAUGUGGUUUCGGCAUCUCUGCCUCACAAACCAGGGUUUGGUGGAUGUGCUGCUGCUAGUGUUCAUUCUUGUUUCUCUUCUUUGGCAAAGAUUAGAUUGGUCUUUAGCUUGGCAAAUAGUUCUGCAUCGGUUGAUUCGCGGAGGGAGGAGGUACAUCGAUGGUGUCUGAGCGAUCUUGCGUAGUGCGCCAUCGAACGAAACAAUCGUGAUCGGUAUAUUGCUCUCCGAUUCUUGUGGGGUUAGAAUGUUUAAUCUCAAGCAGGAGUCGCUCGCUAUUCCAUUGCCCUGCGCUUAAAGAUGCCUUGGUUUCUGAUGCAUCUCUCUAUUCUUUGCUUAUGGGAAAGACCCUUCAUACCUAGAAUUUUUGGCUUGUCAUUUUUUUGUAGACUUGCUUUAUG